UGCCUUCGAAUACGAGGAAGCAAUUCUCUCUGAAUCUGCGAACGGCUCCGCAAACCAGUUGUAAACCAAAGCAAGCAUACUCGGGGUUUGCCCUUCACGGGGUCGGCUACGGGUGAUACGGGUAACCCUGGUAAUUCUGAGGCUAAUACGAGAAUGUACUCCCUGGCUAACCGGGAAACUGGUAGGCUGGGGGGCGUGUGAUCUAUUUGCAAGACGAUUCCAGGAAGGGGUGCACGCUCUGACCGCGACAAAGACAGUUCUGACGGACCCUCACGGGCGAGUCGGUUCUGAGCGGCUCUUGCGAAGUGCUUCUGACCUAUCAACUAGACGGCAGCGUAACGGACAUGCCAUGGUUACAACGGGUACAGAGGAUUAGGGUUCGAUCCUGGAGAGUGGGCCUGAGAGAUUGCUCAUACUUCUAAGGAAGGCAGCAGGCGCGCAACGUUCCCCUUGGGCAAUGCCCGAGGGCGUUAGGGGACAUAUGAAUGGUUGCCUUUUAGGUGGCCAAUUCAAAUGGGUCUGUUCUAAACAGUCUCUCGAGUAACAAUUAGAGGACAAGUCUGGUGCCAGCACCCGCGAAAACCAACUGGAAUCCGCGGGAAAAGUGCGGGAUAAACCCCGUGCUAGUUGAGUCCCACUUACGUGUGUGUGGGGUAGCUCAGCAACAUCGUCAAAUUGCGGGAAAGCCCUAAAGCUGACACUACCAAGUGCGCGUCGGAAGACGGAAAAAACAAGGGCAUUGACCCCCUAACGGGGCGAGCUGCUUGCGCAUGGCCAGGGUAAUGACCUCGGGUAUGGUAAAAACGUGUUCGGAUUGGUGAUGUAGGUAAACCUCUUAGAUGAGGCCUGCAUCCUAACCAAAUGGGUAACCUGCAGCCAAGUCCACAAGCAAAGGAACAGCGACCACAGACCUCUCACCGGGUUCGUGAGUGUAUAGCUGGCUAGAAAACCGACCACAGACCUCUCACCGGGUUCGUGAGUGCAUAGGUUAGUAUAGCACCCGAGCGGAUGCAGUUCAGAGACUAGAUGGCGAUGGGGGUCCCCGAUUUUCGGGGAUCCUUAAGAUAUAGUCCGUCCACUGUGAAAACAGGCCGGGGGAGGAGGGAGGACCACAUACUCCCAGAGCUCCCGGGUUCCCCUAUGGGGGGAUGGAUACAUAUAACGGUAAUUCCAGCUCUAAUAGCAUACGUUAAAGUUGUUGCGGUUAAAACGCUCGUAGUCGGCUUCAGAUCAUCAAACGCCUGAGACGGGAACCUGGCUGCUGCCUUCAAAGGCGCUCCGGGCGACUAGCGAAGGCUGACGGUGGUCAAGUGUGCCUCAGGCUGUGUCCUCGGAUUCACAGGGCCCGGCCUCACGGUUGGGUUCGGCUUGUGGUACCACUUACCAUGACUAAACCGGCUCGAUCAAGAAUGGUCACGACGAUCUUGUACGGCGCAGCAUGGCAUAAGCAUAACUGGUCCGGGAUUUCUUGCGGUCCUGGAUCGGUAGAAGCAAAAGGGGUGUUCGAGGGUGACCGAAUUGCUGGGCGAGUGGUGAAAUACGUUGACCCUAGCAAGUCGACCAAAGGCGAAAGCAGUCAUCAAGGGCAUUCCCGUUGAUCAAGAGCGAAAGUUAAGGGUUCGAAGACGAUUUGACGGAAAUCUGGUCGUCAAUAGUGGCACCGUAAGGUGACUGCUAGUCCGGUGGCUAUAAGCUGCUACUAGUGAAUACACUGGUUUCAAGGGCAACACUAUCAAAUUGCGGGGACACCCUAAAGCUGACACUACCAAAUGCGCGUCGAAAGACGGAAAAAUCAAGGGCAUUGACCCCCUAACGGGGGUAGCUGCUUGCGCAUGGCCGGGUUAAUGACCUCGGGUAUGGUAAAAACGUGUUGGAUGGUGAUAUAGGUAAACCUCUUAAGUGAGGCCUGUAUCCUAACCAAUGGGCAAUCCGCAGCCAAGUCCCGUAAUCUAGAGGGCAGCACCACAACCACGCCAACAACCUACGGGGGGGCAAGGAUGUGAGUGAAGCUGUACCGUGCUAACCAUAGCGCUGGGGGUAUCCCGGUGGUGUGAGUGUAUAGGCACCGGGUUCUCUAGUGGGAUGCAGUUCACAGACUAAAUGGUAGUGGGCGAGAUCAGGUUUGUCUAGCCUGGUAUUGCUUAAGAUAUAGUCGAGCCUCCGGGGAAACUCGGGGGGAAGCAACUAGCGAAAGUUUCCCUCCGGGGAAACUCGGGGGGAAGCGACUAGCGAAAGCUUCCAUCCGGGGAAACUCGGGGGGAAGCGACUAGCGAAAGCUUCCCUCCGGGGAAACUCGGGGGAAGCAACUAGCGAAAGUUUCCAUCCGGGGAAACUCGGGGGGAAGCAACUAGCGAAAGCUUCCCUCCGGGGAAACUCGGGGGGAAGCGACUAGCGAAAGCUUCCCUCCGGGGAAACUCGGGGGGAAGCGACUAGCGAAAGCAUCCAUCCGGGGAAACUCGGGGGGAAGCGACUAGCGAAAGCUUCCCUCCGGGGAAACUCGGGGGGAAGCGACUAGCGAAAGCAUCCAUCCGGGGAAACUCGGGGGGAAGCGACUAGCGAAAGCUUCCAUCCGGGGAAACUCGGGGGGAAGCAACUAGUGAAAGCUUCAAUAGCAGAUACCGUCGUAGUCUUAACUAUAAAUGAUACUGACCAGAGAUAGGAUUCUGUCCAUCUCGACUUCUCCUGGAUCUUUGAGAAAUUAUAGUCUUUGAGUUCUGGGGGGAGUAUGGUCGCAAGGCUGAAACUUAAAGGAAUUGACGGAAGGGCACACAAAGAGUGGAACCUGCGGCUUAACUCCAUAGGCCGCGAUAGUUAGCACGGUUGGCAUGUCAGGAUCAAGCGAGUAUGGAACGGAAAAUUCUGGGGAGUCUGAGGAUGAAUACUAUGAUGACGAGGAACCAGAACCAGCGGAUUCAAAGGGAAAGGUUGCGUAUGGACGGGUUGGAUUGUGCAAAUUGCUGAAAGCAGUUGAGGACCAGACUCUUGAGACUCUAACUAGACCCCGCAAGAAGGUUGAAGUCGAUGGGGUUGCGGCUUUUCUGGUAGCCAAAUUGGAGGCCUUUCACAAGGAGCACGAUCCAUUCACGUACUUACAAGACCACUGCAUCGGUAGGAGACUUUACUUUAUAUUGUAGUAACUAACUCGUCACAGGAUCUAAACCCGACAAACCCUGGUAUGCAAUGACCCAGGCCCUUUUGGUUACCAAACAUGGCAUGUGCCUUGUGGGGAGCAAGAAGUGGCCUCAGUUAAGGCUCGGGGUGUCGGCUGGGGGAGACAAGGAAAAUCAUAUUCGAGUCCAAGCCUCGGUUAUUGUUGAUUUCUUGGUUGGACAAAUGUCUGAUAGGGAAUUGAUCGUGGCUAUUAAGGCGAAGCUUGAUAACUGGGGGACUGAAUCUCGGGUGGUUGCCCACUUGUGCAAAAGCAAGAACGGGAUGUGUGCUACUGUUCAACACGGUGUGCAUGUCUCCAGUGGGGUGAACAUCAAGGAGCAUGAAGUCUGCCCGGCAUACAUGGUGAUCUAUGGAGCCCUCUUUAACCUGUGUAUUUGUCAGAAGCCGCAGUGUAUUGUUCCGGGACCUCGGUUUAAUUUUGGAGUGUGGAGUGAAAUCUAUGCCCCAUUGUUCGAUCAUGUCCAGAUUACUGGGAUGCAGUUGAAGUGUGUUGUACAGUGCGAAAAAUAAAUUGUUAAACCCUGAUAUGUGUGGCUGUGUAGGCUAGCUAGUUGACCCCCCAGAAAGGUUGAGCAGGGGGGCAGCGAGACAACCUGGUACGAGGGAACUCUGAGUUGGGGUCCGCUUGGGCCCGCCCUCAGACAAUCUCGUGGCGAGCUGCCGGUGGGUAACUGCUGGAUAGCCGUCGUAACGCGCGGUAAGGUGUCGGGUGUCCCGGAGAAAUCCGGGAUAUCUUAAGGAACGUGCUACUCCCGCCCGUGAGGGUGCAUUGUACUGGAGCUCUCAACAGCGAAGGUAUGGUGGUCCGAGAAUCUGCCGGAAAUGGUAGUGGAGAUUGGUAUCAAGGUAAUUUGACUCAACACGGGAAAACUCACCAGGUCCGGAUACACGUAUGAAAGACAAGCUGAAAGACUUUUCUCAAUGAUGUAAGUGGUGGUGCAUGGUCGUUCUUAGUUCGUGGAUUGAUUUGUCUGGUCUAUUCCGAUAACGAGCGAGACCCCGGCGUUCCUAAUAGGGGUGGCAGCCCGGCUCGUCCCUCACGGGACUUGCUAGCAGCCACUUAAGAUGUACUUCUUAGACGUAUCAGAGCCGAUAAGGUUCUUGAAAUGGGUUAAUAACAGGUCAGUCAUGCCCUUAGAUGUUCUGGGCCGCACGCGCGUUACAAUGGCAUGUAUACAUAGUGCCUAAAAGGGCGUAUCCGGGGCCUAACGGCUUCGGUAACCCUUAGUCCCUGCCUUGACUGGGACAGACUAUUGCAAUUAUUGGUCUCAAACGAGGAAUUUUUAGUAGUCGUAGGUCAUUAACCUGCGACGAAUGCGUCCCUGCCCUGACAAAGGUUUGAGCUUUCCACCCCCGGGAAAACCCGGGAUCUUUCAAUCUGGUCCUGCAGACUGGAGCGAGAGGUCCCGGGCAGCCCCGGGGACCGAUUUAGUACGGGAUCCCGGCACUCCUCCUGCAGGUGUAGAGAGCUGGGGUCCCCGAAAAGUCGGGGUUAGCACUUAUCCCAAGGGGCAAAAAGGAUCCAGGACAACUGGCUUCUAGUCCGACCACCAAACCCCUGCUAUCGCAGUUGGGGUGCGGGGGGCUUCCCGAAUCGACGGGGAUUCACGGGCAACACUAACCAAGUAGCGGGAAUCUCCUUAAAAGCACUGGAUACCAAGCCAUCCUUUUGAAAAGAGGGGUGGUGGCUCCGGAUAACACCCGGGGGUAUGGUGAUAAAGCCAGGCGCAUCAGGGGCAACCUGCAGCCAAGCCCGUAACGGUCCCUCCCAGGAUCCAGGGUGCAGCUCACAGGCCAAACGGUGGUGGGUGGUCCCCAGCAAGACGCCUCUCGGGGCUGAAAGCUGGGUCUGCUUAAGAUAUGGUCGACCGGACAGAACUGGUCCUUAACUUGUUCAAAAACGUAGGGUACGGGAUAUCCCAUAUGAGGCAAUGGGUUCGGAAAAAAGGGAUUGGUUGGUCCCGGGUAGGCUGGUAGGCUGGUAGGCUGGUAGGCUGGUAGGCUAAUACGGAAGGAUACGGAGGGGAAACACGCAAAACUAACCAUCGGAGCGGACAAUCACCGUUGUACACACCGCCCGUCGCUGCUACCGAUUGGGUUUUGCGGUUACGAGUUCAGAGGACGCGGCUCCCUGCCUGCCUUCGGGUAGGCAGUAACUGUGACCAAAGUUCUAAUUACCGCACGGCCUAGAGGAAGCAGAAGUC
rnacentral:rRNA from 1 species